rnacentral:rRNA from 1 species
UGGGGAAUAUUGGACAAUGGGCGGAAGCCUGAUCCAGCCAUGCCGCGUGUGUGAAGAAGGCCUUUUGGUUGUAAAGCACUUUAAGCGAGGAGGAGGCUACUCGGAUUAAUACUCUAGGAUAGUGGACGUUACUCGCAGAAUAAGCACCGGCUAACUCUGUGCCAGCAGCCGCGGUAAUACAGAGGGUGCGAGCGUUAAUCGGAUUUACUGGGCGUAAAGCGUGCGUAGGCGGCUUCUUAAGUCGGAUGUGAAAUCCCUGAGCUUAACUUAGGAAUUGCAUUCGAUACUGGGAAGCUAGAGUAUGGGAGAGGAUGGUAGAAUUCCAGGUGUAGCGGUGAAAUGCGUAGAGAUCUGGAGGAAUACCGAUGGCGAAGGCAGCCAUCUGGCCUAAUACUGACGCUGAGGUACGAAAGCAUGGGGAGCAAACAGG